rnacentral:lncRNA from 1 species
CUGGAACCCCGGGAUGCCCCCACCAGUACAAACCAGUACGGACCAGUUUGGGUCAGUUUGGACCAGUCUGAACCAUUUUGGGUCACUUUGGACCAGUUUGGACCAGUUUGGGCCACCUUGGACCACUUAGGAUCAGUUUGGCCCAGUUUGGCCCAGUACGGACCAGUUUGGCCCAGUUCCCCUGGACCAGUCCGGACCAGUUUGGACCCAGAAUUCCCAGUUCCCCUGGACCAGUCCAGACCAGUUUGGCCCAGUUUGGCCCAGUUGCCCUGGACCAGUUUGGCCCAGUUUGGACCCAGAAUUCCCAGUUCCCUGGACCAGUUUGGACCAGUUUGGACCAGUCCAGACCAGUCUGGACCAGUUUGGGCCCAGAAUUCCCAGUUCCCCUGGACCAGUCCGGACCAGUUUGGCCCAGUUUGGCCCAGUUUGGCCCAGUUCCCCUGGACCAAUCCAUUCCCAGUCCAUCCCAGUCCAUCCCAGUCCAUCCCAGUUACCGAACGCCAGGGGGGAGGGGGGGGCUGGGAUCAUUGGGAGCCCCCCCGGGACCGCCCAGGCCCCGCCCCCUUUAACA